GGCAUGAUGACGAGGAUGCUGGAGCUGGGCAGUGAGAUACUGAGACCCUGAAGGGAAGUUCUGAUGUUGAGCCCACGAGUACAUCCCCCUGGUCAGGAAAUUGGAAGGGAGAGUGCCUCUUGUGUGUUAGGAGCUCCGGCAGAGACUCCACAAAGUUCUCCAAGACAAAGUCCCCUGAAAACUUCUCUGAGCCGAUAUAAUAAUGAUGAACUGGAGCGCCAUCCUGCAGAGGAUAUGUAGUAUGAUCAAGAGACAAAUCUUUACCCUUUCAAGCCAUUGGAAUUCAGCUUAUGUGACCCACUCCGGCUGUCUUGACAUAGUGGUGACUUGAAGAUCUGAGGACAAGCAAUUACACUGUCUGUCUCAAAUUGGACUGGGAUUAAGCACUCCUUUCUCUACCUUAGCUGCUUAACACAACGCCUGGCUUCUGGAGGUGGCCUGACCUCCGAAGACCUAGCUCAGGUGACAGGUGCCACCUGAAGGUGAAUCAGAAGAGAUGAAAUAUGAGAGUUACAGAAAAUGGUGCUUGGAUAGACUGACAAGAUUCUCAAGAAGACCCAGG